GCAUCAUAUGCAACUCUCCACUCCUCCUAUCCUGUUUUUCAGCCUUCAUUUCCAUCUCUUUACUUCUAAGAGAAUCUACGACAAUUUCAGGUGUUAGCGUGUCCCUACCAUACUUAAUAGCAUUUUUAACUUCUUUAUAAGAGUCCGGGAUUGAAUUGAGCAAGAUAAUGGCCUUAUAGGUUUCAGACACGGCUUCGUCACAAUUGACAAUAUCUUGCACCAAUUUAUUAAAUACAUCUAGAUUGUCGUCGAGAUCCUUUGAAGGAUCCAUUUUAAAGCUGAAGAAUCGUUCGAGUAGGUAGAGUUUAUUCGGUGUAGAUUUAAGCAAGUAUAAGUCUUCUAGUCUUUUCCAAAGUUCUUUGGUGGUUUUUAGUUUUCCCACUUUUCUUAAGACGGCGUCAGACAAGUGUAAUAUUAUUGAGGUAUAGGCAAGCUCAUCGGCUUCCUCUUUUUGUUCUUUUGAGAUAUCAGGUGCAAAAUUGCCUUCGAUGGCUUUUGACACCUUUUGUUGGACUAGUAUGCCUCUCAUCUUUUGUUGCCAGAUAGAGAAGUCCCCUUUACCGUUAAAAAUUCCCAAAUCAAAAUUAUGUGUUGUCAUUGGUUAACACCCUAAUUAAACCACACGAAGUAGUAUUGGGAAACGUGAUAAGGUAAUGUCUUGUUAAUUAUUAGCAAAGGUAACAAUGAACCUAAACGCUACGUCCACCAAGGAAUAACAAGCACUUUAAAUUAAAAGAACAAAUACUCAAUUAACGCAAGUAAUCCUAAUUCUAGCACACGCAAUGGUUACCCCUUCACGGUAACCCCAAAACCUAACGAUCACCCCACACGAUGAUCUUGCUAUUGCUGAAUUUAAAUGGAUUAAGCCAAUUUUGGUCUCGCCUGGAUAGACAGUCCGUAGAGUGGAGAAAAACGAGCUUGCUGUUGAAUUUCAGUCGGCGUCGUACCAAAGGGCAAAAUCGUCCAACUUUUUCUGUGUAACCUGAAACACAAAACAAAGUAUAUCAGCGCGUUCGGGAGAUCGAAACAAACAAGUUACCUGAAGAUUGCGUCGCCGGAAAACCUCCCACGCGCCGCCCACGCCUCUCCCGGAGCGCCUCGACCUGCUGAUGAUGGGUAUGGCCUCCGUUUGUCCAAUCGAGCUUUGGUUUGUGAGUAAUUGCAAAUUUUCAGAUUCGGGUUCUAGGUUGAAGAUGUGAAAAUUAGCCGAUUUUGAGCCCUUUUUUGCUACCCAAGCUCUGAUACCAGAUGUUAGGAUCUUCCUCUUCCUGCUCACGGUGAUUUCCGGGCUCAGUUAACCAUUAAAAUCGAAUUCAACAUCAAAUUGGAGUCACCAAAGCCGCUGGCGCCUCUUCCUCCUAUGGUUGCUUUCCUCCUUUGCUUUGUUGAUUCAAUCCACACACUUAGGAUGGAUACCACUCAGGUAAGGUACACAAAGACUCAAGCAAUUGGGAUGGAGAAGAAAUCACGAAGAAGAUGAAGACUGAAGAACACGGCAGAACCUCUAUCUCACGGCUUCAACUUGGACGGGUUCAACAAGGAUGAAAACACCAAUAUAUAUAGUAAGUCAAAUGGCCAACAUAAGGUAAGUAGGGAUAUGGUAAGUAGGCUCAACUAGGGUUAACUUCCAAUGGAAAGAAUCAACAAGCCACAAAGAGUAUUAGCCGUCCAAUAGGUAAAGCAACGUUUGGUCGGUUCAUCCAUUAUUCGAUGUUGAAUUAUCGUUUAGUCAUUCAUGUCGACUGAUAAAAUUGGUUCUUAUUAUCGCCCGGGAGGUCGUUUGACAGCAUAAUGUCUAACAUGCUUCCUCUCUUGAAAAAGGACAAGUUCAAGAGGUUAACCAAAAAUGGAAAAAAAAUGAGAGAGAGAAUUACACAUCAUUUGAAAAAAAUCCAUCAAACGAAACACCUACAUCAUGUCACUCUUUUCUGUCACAUGCUUUCAAUUGGUUCUGACUUGACAAUUGGAGUGAGCUCGACCUUUCCUUCGGGGAUUGAUGCUCACACUUGAAGUUUGCCAAAAUAUACAAAAAACUAUCUCCCAAUCUUUAUGAAACUUCCAGAAUUUUCAACAAUUCUAGAAUAUCCAUGCUGUAACCUAUCUUGGCAAGUCUCAUAUUUAGUCGUGUGUACGCAAACUUUUGAGCAUCUAAAUACAAGAUGCGGGGAGUUUGAAGUUAUCUCCUUGGAUUAUAUCUGCGUUUAUAUAAAACAAAGUCAUCUUCGAUGCCAACUUUCUGCUUAUAUUUUCCCUAUAUCCAACAGAUAUCAGGUUUUGGCUGGCGUGAUUGAACAAAGGAUGUUGAGCCUUUUCUGCAUAGACACAAGUUAUUCUUGAGUGCAAUUUGCUUUGCCGUGCGAACUGGCAACACGUUCUUAGGCUCCUUACUGUGAGAUUUUUAGCCUUUUCCCUGUGCACUUCUCUUAUAGUGUUAUUAUUGCAUGAUUUUAUAAACUCUUUAAACGUUUUGCAGGUGGGUUGAUUAUGCCGUUGGAUAGGAAUUCAAAAGGAUCAUGAUGUUGUUGGAAAUUUAUGCCAUCGGGGAAAAUGGAGAUGAAAAUUAAGAAAUAGAAAUUUAAGAAGAUGGAAGUUAACAAGGAAAACAAACCAAUAUGGAAGGCUCAAACACGAAAAUGAUUCGUUGUCCUCAAACGAUAUUUGCCCCUUCUCGUAUAAAAAUUUGGUGCUUAAAAGGUUUUAUGGCAAAUAGUUCGUAGGAUUGAUCAAGCCUUGUUGUAGAAAAUUACAAAAGCACAAAUGAUUUUUCCACCCGAAUCUUGAAGAACACUUGAAGAACUUGAAUAUGGAGGGAAGAAAGUUUAAUUCUUUCAUGUGGAUUUGUUUAUAUGUUUUUCAAAAACUUGUAAUUAUUCUUCAAUGUCCAUUAAUCACUUAUUUAUAGACAUGAAACAUUUCCACACGAAAAGGUGCCAAAACGAAAUGAAAAGCUGCCAAAAUCAUAAUUGAAAAACUGCCAACGGCUAUAUUCCUUCUAUGCGGUCGCAUAGAAGGAUCCUAUGCGACCGCAUAUGUUUCACAAAGGUAGGGCCGUUAGGCCCUGUAGGUAUCUAUGCGGUCGCAUAGAAGGAUCCUAUGCGACCGCAUAGGUUUAUAUUUUGGCCUCCAUUUUUUCACUUCAUUCCAUCUUUAUUUUAUUCCACACACCGGUUCUUAUUAUUGUUGAACAAAUAUACAACAGAUGUAGAAUCAGAAGUGGGAACUUCUGCUUCAUGCUGAGGCCAUGGAGUAAAUACGAGUUUUCCCAUUAGUCGACAUCUUAUAGAAGUCAUUUACUUGGGAUUAAUCAAGUUUAUCGCAAUUAUACAGUUAUUUAAGAUUUUCAAAUAUUUAUAUGGUUGGUGUGUUGAAAUUAUUAAUGGUGAAACAGUUAAUUUGCUUUGAUUUUAGCACAUCUUCUUUGUAGCCUGGAGAUUUUAAUUGCUUAGUAAAUGGAUAUACUUGGUUUUCCAGAAGAACCAGUACAC
rnacentral:lncRNA from 1 species